AUAUUACCGUUAAGUUGGCUGACGAUAUCGAAUACAAACAGUCCCAACUGGACAAUCUGGAUUCUGAAUUCGAAAACAAAUUCCGU
rnacentral:tRNA from 1 species